rnacentral:rRNA from 1 species
CACGUAGGGGGCGAGCGUUGUCCGGAUUCAUUGGGCGGAAAGAGCUCGUAGGCGGCUCAGUAAGUCGGGUGUGAAAGCCCCGGGCUUAACUUGGGAAUUGCGCUCGAAACUACGUGGCUCGAGUGUGGCAGAGGAAGGUGGAAUUCCACGUGUAGCGGUGAAAUGCGUAGAGAUGUGGAGGAACACCGAUGGCGAAGGCAGCCUUCUGGGCCAACACUGACACUCAUGCACGAAAGCGUGGGGAGCAAACAGG